CAAAGAAUAGUUUAAGUAAAAUUUUAAUUUUGGAGAUUAAUGAUAGGAAUUAUCUUUUCUUUGA
rnacentral:tRNA from 1 species